rnacentral:tRNA from 1 species
GGGCUCGUAGUCUAGUCUGGAUAUGAUUUCGGUCUGCGGAACCGGAGGUCGUGGGUUCGAAUCCCACCGAGCCCG